UGCGUAGGUGGCGAGGCAAGUCAGAUGUGAAAUUCCAGGGCUUAACCUUGGGGCUGCAUUUGAUACGUGUAGACUAGAGUGUGAGAGAGGGUUGUGGAAUUCCCAGUGUAGAGGUGAAAUUCGUAGAUAUUGGGAAGAACACCGGUGGCGAAGGCGGCAACCUGGCUCAUUACUGACGCUGAGGCGCGAAAGCGUGGGGAGCAAACAGGAUUAGAUACCCGCGUA
rnacentral:rRNA from 1 species